rnacentral:lncRNA from 1 species
CAGGUUGCAGCUGUAGACAGUACUUUUUAUUUCAGCACUGCAAGGCUCAGCCUUUCAAAACUUGAUAUGGACCUCCGAGACUUAAAAAAAAAAUACCCAAUGUUGAGCAGGUUUUACUUGCCUUUACUUGCCUUAUGACUCCUGAGCUUUUAACAUUCAUAAAGAACUGAUUUCUUCUCCACGGUAUUGCUCCAGAUGCGAUGUCAGCACUGAUGCAACAGCACCAACCAGGGCACCCAGUAUUCCUAGCAGACAGUUUCACUUUCUACGAGACAAGAUGCAUCUGCAGCUCUGGUUUCCUGUCGAGUCCAGCUGGCAUCCAGAGACCGCACCAGAUUUAAGAGGCUGAUGUUCUCUCCACAACUUUGACUUUUCACAACAGCUACCUACACUCGGAAAAAUGAAACUGCUAGCCAACAGGGUGAAGCCCCUAAGUUCAGGAGACAUAUUUCACAUUUUAAAUCAAGUUCUGCAAUAAAAGAGAAUGAUCGCUUUUCA